UUGGUUCGAAGGGGCAAACAAAAGUAUUUUCAAGUUCAAAUAAGGCCCAGAAUGGGGAAUAGUGAAUUUUUUUGUUUAUCCUGUGUUAUAGUCCAUGAAUUUUGUGUGCUAUAUGCAAUCAACGGUUUUUUGGCCAUUAUUUUCCUUGGACAUCCGUGACGAGCAAUUAAGUGGCGCUUAUUGAUUUGGAUGGGAAAAUGUAGAUUUUUUUCAAGUUCAAACGAGGCUAGAAUGAAAAGUAGUGAUUUUUUUUCCAUUUUUCAUGUGUUAUAGUCAAUGAGUUUUGUGUGAUAUCUGCCCCAAAGGUUUUUUGGCCCAAUUUUUUUUGGACGUUUGUGGCAACCUUUUAAAUAGCGUGCGGUGGUUCAGAGGGAUAAACGUAGGUUUUUUCAAGUUCAAACGAGUUCCAUAAUGAGAAAUAGUCAUUUUUUCAUUUUUUUAAUUAAAGUCCAUGAAUUUUGUGUGAUAUGUGCGUCCGACAUUCUUUUUGCCAAAAAAUUUCGGUGGGCAUCCAUGACGAUCUACUUAAUGGCAUGUGUUGGUUCAGAUGGGCAAAUGUAGGUUUUUCUAAUUCAAAUUAGUCUCGGAAAGGAAAUUGCAAUUAUUGCAAUUUUCAUGUGUUUUAGUCCAUGGAUUUUGUGUGAUAUGUGCGUCUGGCGAUUAUUUGGCUGAAACUUUUUGUGGGCAUCUAUGGCGAUCUAUUAAAUAGUGAGCGUUGGUUCGGAGGGGAAAAUGUAGGUAUUUUCAAGUUCAAAAGAGGUCUAAACAAGGAAAUAGAGAUUUUUCUAUUUUUUGUGUGUUAUAGUCCAUGGAUUUUAGUGAUAUGUGCGUCCAGUAAUUUUUUGUCCGAAUUUUUUUGUGGGUAUCGUGACAACCUACUUAAAUGUGUGCAUUAUGGAGGGGAAAAUGUAGGUUUUUUUCUAAUUCAAAUGAGUGUUUGACCAAGAAAUAGAGAUUUUUCCAUUUUUCAAGUGUUGUAGUCCAUGAAUUUUAUGUGAUAUGUAUACCCAAAGAUUUUCUGGCUAUCAUACUUUUUUUUUUUAAAAAUCAUACUUGAAUGUGGAAACUGGGAGAAGAAGUAAUCUAGUUUCAAUUUGAAAAUUGGUGGCAUAAGGUGGAAGGGUUCAACGACUUGGUUAGAAAUGGUGGAAUGACAUAGUGGUCGAAGGUUUCCCAGAUUUCAAACUCUGUGCCAAACUAAAAAUAUUAAAAGAUAAGCUCAAAGUAUAGAGCAAAUUCAUUCUUGGGGAACAUACUAAUAGGAAAAAAUGCACUAUUGCAUGAACUAGAAGAGCUUGAGUUAGCUCAAGAUGAUAGGUCUUGACUGAAAAUGAAAUGGUAGUGAGAGCCACAAUUCUUGUGGAACUUGAGGUGCUGGCUAAAAAUGAAGAGUCACUUUGGAGGUAGAAAUCC
rnacentral:lncRNA from 1 species